rnacentral:rRNA from 1 species
GAUGAACGCUGGCGGCGUGCCUAAUACAUGCAAGUCGAGCGAACAGACGAGGAGCUUGCUCCUUCGACGUUAGCGGCGGACGGGUGAGUAACACGUAGGUAACCUACCUAUAAGACUGGGAUAACUUCGGGAAACCGGAGCUAAUACCGGAUAAUAUUUCGAACCGCAUGGUUCGAUGGUGAAAGAUGGCUUUGCUAUCACUUAUAGAUGGACCUGCGCCGUAUUAGCUAGUUGGUAAGGUAACGGCUUACCAAGGCAACGAUACGUAGCCGACCUGAGAGGGUGAUCGGCCAAACUGGAACUGAGACACGGUCCAGACUCCUACGGGAGGCAGCAGUAGGGAAUCUUCCGCAAUGGGCGAAAGCCUGACGGAGCAACGCCGCGUGAGUGAUGAAGGUCUUCGGAUCGUAAAACUCUGUUAUUAGGGAAGAACAAACGUGUAAGUAACUGUGCACGUCUUGACGGUACCUAAUCAGAAAGCCACGGCUAACUACGUG